rnacentral:rRNA from 1 species
UCCUACGGGAGGCAGCAGUGAGGAAUAUUGGUCAAUGGACGAGAGUCUGAACCAGCCAAGUAGCGUGCAGGAAGACGGCCCUAUGGGUUAGUAAACUGCUUUUAUAAGGGAAUAAAGUGAGUCUCGUGAGACUUUUUGCAUGUACCUUAUGAAUAAGGACCGGCUAAUUCCGUGC